AUUGAACGCUGGCGGCAGGCCUAACACAUGCAAGUCGAACGGUAACAGGAAGCAGCUUGCUGCUUUGCUGACGAGUGGCGGACGGGUGAGUAAUGUCUGGGAAACUGCCUGAUGGAGGGGGAUAACUACUGGAAACGGUAGCUAAUACCGCAUAACGUCGCAAGACCAAAGAGGGGGACCUUCGGGCCUCUUGCCAUCGGAUGUGCCCAGAUGGGAUUAGCUAGUAGGUGGGGUAACGGCUCACCUAGGCGACGAUCCCUAGCUGGUCUGAGAGGAUGACCAGCCACACUGGAACUGAGACACGGUCCAGACUCCUACGGGAGGCAGCAGUGGGGAAUAUUGCACAAUGGGCGCAAGCCUGAUGCAGCCAUGCCGCGUGUAUGAAGAAGGCCUUCGGGUUGUAAAGUACUUUCAGCGGGGAGGAAGGCGAUAAGGUUAAUAACCUUGUUCGAUUGACGUUACCCGCCGAAGAGAAC
rnacentral:rRNA from 1 species